rnacentral:rRNA from 1 species
UGCAAGUCGAACGAGAAAGCCCGGCUUCGGUUGGGUAAGUAAAGUGGCGAACGGGUGAGUAACACGUGGAUAAUCUGCCUAUAUAUCCGGGAUAAUCCUUCGAAAGGAGGUCUAAUACCGGAUGACACCUUCUGGUGGCAUCACCGGAAUGUCAAAGACGGGGUAACCUGUUGUGUAUAGAUGAGUCCGCGCUCCAUUAGCUAGUUGGCGGGGUAACGGCCCACCAAGGCUACGAUGGAUAGCCGGCCUGAGAGGGUGAUCGGCCACACUGGGACUGAGAUACGGCCCAGACUCCUACGGGAGGCAGCAGUAGGGAAUAUUGCGCAAUGGACGAAAGUCUGACGCAGCAACGCCGCGUGGAUGAUGAAGCAUUUCGGUGUGUAAAAUCCUGUCGGUGGGGAAGAAACGUAUGGUGAGUAACUGCUCCAUACUUGACGGUACCCACAGAGGAAGUCCCGGCUAACUCCGUGCCAGCAGCCGCGGUAAUACGGGGGGGACGAGCGUUGUUCGGAUUUACUGGGCGUAAAGGGCGCGUAGGCGGGUCUUCAAGUCGGAUGUGAAAACUAUCAGCUUAACUGGUAGCCUGCAUUUGAUACUGUUGAUCUUGAGUACGGGAGAGGAGAGUGGAAUUCCAGGUGUAGCGGUGAAAUGCGUAGAUAUCUGGAAGAACACCAGUAGCGAAGGCGGUUCUCUGGACCGAUACUGACGCUCAAGCGCGAAGGCUUGGGGAGCAAACAGGAUUAGAUACCCUGGUAGUCCAAGCGGUAAACUAUGGGUACUAGAUGUCGGGGGUAUCGACCCCCUCGGUGUCGCAGCUAACGCAGUAAGUACCCCGCCUGGGGAGUACGAUCGCAAGAUUGAAACUCAAAUGAAUUGACGG